rnacentral:rRNA from 1 species
GAUGAACGCUGGCGGCGUGCCUAAUACAUGCAAGUCGAGCGAACAGACGAUGAGCUUGCUCCUCUGACGUUAGCGGCGGACGGGUGAGUAACACGUGGAUAACCUACCUAUAAGACUGGGAUCACUUCGGGAAACCGGAGCUAAUACCGGAUAAUAUAUUGAACCGCAUGGUUCAAUAGUGAAAGACGGUUUUGCUGUCACUUCUAGAUGGAUCCGCGCCGCAUUAGCUAGUUGGUAAGGUAACGGCUUACCAAGGCAACGAUGCGUAGCCGACCUGAGAGGGUGAUCGGCCACACUGGAACUGAGACACGGUCCAGACUCCUACGGGAGGCAGCAGUAGGGAAUCUGCCGCAAUGGGCGAAAGCCUGACGGAGCAACGGCGCGUGAGUGAUGAAGGUCUUCGGAUCGUAAAACUCUGUUACUAGGUAAGAACAAAUGUGGAAGUAACUAUGCACGUCUUGACGGUACCUAAUCAGAAAGCCACGGCUAACUACGUG